rnacentral:rRNA from 1 species
UACGGAGGAUCCAAGCGUUAUCCGGAUUCACUGGGUUUAAAGGGUGCGUAGGUGGGCAGGUAAGUCAGUGGUGAAAUCUCCGAGCUUAACUCGGAAACUGCCGUUGAUACUAUUUGUCUUGAAUAUUGUGGAGGUAAGCGGAAUAUGUCAUGUAGCGGUGAAAUGCUUAGAUAUGACAUAGAACACCAAUUGCGAAGGCAGCUUACUACACAAUGAUUGACGCUGAGGCACGAAAGCGUGGGGAUCAAACAGG